UUUCCACUAUCAGUAAGCGGUUUCGUCCUCGACCGGUGAUUCCUUGUGGGGCUCUGGCCUCUUGGUCCAAGUUCUGUUAUUCACUGUAAUGCAAAUCUUGGAUUGUCUUUACUGUUUAAGCAGAUUUGCAUGUAUUUUCAUCUUGGAGAGUAGCGGAGGACAUUUCUUGCUUGCAAUCUUUCAAUCUGCUAUCACUUGCCGGGUAAAAGUAUUGUGUAGAGUUACAGUUCUUUAUAGAUGAAUUUGCAAAUGGCCCGGAGAUGUUUAAAGAUCAGGGACCUUUCAUGGUCAUAAUUGAAGAAGUAGAAACAAAGUAGAAAACAUCCAUUCCAUGAAUAUGGGAAAAUAAUUCUAAUUAAUAAGGUUCUUGAAUAUUACUAAAAAUUGUAUUAAUAAAUUAGGUAUCUAAUUCAAUAAUGCUGAUUCUGCUAAUAAAAACUCGUAUGCAACAGAUAAUAGAUUCAGUAAAUAAAUCCUUCAAAGAUUUUUCAAAUACAGAGGUUUGUCUGGAAUAUUGGAGAUGCCAUCAACGAAGAUGACUUUUCUGCAGAGGUGGAAGCCAAAGUCAGAAGAGGUAGUUCAGUCACACAAUUCAAAAUCAUUACUGUGAGAGUCUAGGUUAUUGAUGGUUUAUUUCCUUUUGAAACGCUUCCAACUAAGGAUUGUAUAGUGACUUUUGAAUGUAUUAUUUUAUUUUUUAAAAUGCAAAGGCAAGAGUCAAUGUAGUUUUUGUGCUGAAGAUCAUCUUGUGGGACAAAAAAAUUCAGCUUCAAAAGAAAGACAAGCGUCUAUUACAACACCUCAACGUAGAGCAUAUUUGUACCAAGUCCUACGGCAAAAUCUCCCCAUACUAGUUUGUAUUCACUGUAAGAGUGCUCGCCUCUCAAAAGACGUCUCUGAUUUGGUGUUUUGGUGACGGAGUCCUCUUUAUCUUCCUUAACAAGCCCCUAGUCUACUAGUAAAGGAGUUCUGCAUGGCACUCUGUUGGCAUUCCACACUCUUACAGUGUGCUGAGGAUAUUGAGCUCCUAUAUGCCAAUCGAGAAGUAUUGCACAUGUCUUCGCUUAUUAAUCGAGUCCUAAAAAACGUGCACGACUAUCUAUGUACUCUAAGUCAUUGGAUGUUCUUUUCUUCCCAAAAAAAUGGACGUCACCAACACGACCUCUACAACCAGGUGAUGAAAUGAUGACUGUAAACAAUCGAUGAGUCUUGACGAAUGAGAGAAUAAAUGCCGGUCGCUAUAGGAUAAUGUUUUAAUUUGUUAUGGUAUUGGUGUGGUAUUUGUUUUAAUUAUGGAAUUUGAUAUAGUGCGCGUAAUUUCAGCAUUGGACAGCACGUGACGAUUGUCUAGGCAACCAGUGAAUGUCUUCAUCUCCCAGCAGUGGCGUGUUUUCCCUUUUUAAUUUGUGCGAGUUUAUUUUAUAUGGCAAUUUGUACAAAUAUUGAUGUUGGUAUUCCUUCACUAAAUAUUAAUUAUGCACCGCCACUGGCCCACGCUGCAGGCCAUCGAGUAACUUUGGAUUCGCGGGCUUCUGCAAUCGGUCAGUUGAUAACAUCCCAUUCUGAAAUUACGUUCACUCUACUAAAAAAGUGACAAAUUAAAAGUAUCUGCUAAAAAGUAUCCGCUUAUGUGAAUAGUUUAGCCGUCGAUACCAGCAAUCCCAAGGUAUAGUCCGUGCCAGAAAAUGUUGCCGACAAAUAUUUAGUUAGUUUUUGUUGUACCAUAUAUACACCCUCUCAACUCGAUAAUAGAACAGAAACUAACCAAAGCUAACCCGGCAGCAUUGGAUUACGGUCAAACAUUUAACCCCCUCCUAGUGCUAGUUGCCUUUAACUUUGUUAUGCAAUUAUAUUUACAACGGCAAUCCUUCAGUUUACGUAUGUGGGGAAUAGGGAAAUUUUAACUGUUUGCCAAAUGACACAGCGACACACUGUUCCGAAGUUGUAAUCUUUUUUCGGUUUAAUCAGGAAAUUAUAUAAACGGAAAAUUGUAAUUCUUUAAUACGGGCUGUUAUAAUAAUAAUGUAAGUUGCAACUCGAUAGACUUAUAUAAACCAAAUUGAGUUUGUUCUGUAGCACCUGUGCGACUGAUGACUGGAAUAAAUUUGGGAAAACA